UUGGUUAGGUUUUGGUUAAGAGUUGGUUUAGAAUUAGGAUUGGGCUAGAAUUUAGGCUUUGAUUAAGGUUUGAUUAGGAUUUAGGAUUGGAUGAAGGUUUAGGAUUUUCUUAGGAUUUAAUAUUUCCUUGGAAUUUAGAGUUUAGCAUUUAAGAUUUUAGGUUUGGAUUAGAAUUUGUUUAGAAAUUAGGGUUUAUUUAGGAUUUAGGAUUUAAAUUAGGAUUUGUUUAGAAUUUUCUUAGGAUUCAAGAUUUAGAAAUAAGGAUUUAGAAUUUACUUAGGAUUUAAAAUUUAGGAUUUUCUUAAAGUUUAGGAUUUUAGUUUUACUUAGGAUUUAGGAUUUAGUAUUUGUAUAGGAUUUAGGAUUUAAGAUUUACUUAGGAUUUAGGAUUUAGGAUUUAGGAUUUAUUUAGGAUUUAAGAUCUAUUUAGAAUUUAAUUGAAUUUUAUUAGGACUUCAUCUAGAAUUAAAUUAAAACUUGGUUGAGAUUUA
rnacentral:lncRNA from 1 species